GGCUGUGGCUCUCCAGGACCAAUGCUCGCCACCCCUGGUCUAGACAGUGUACAAAUAUAUGACAUUUUUAUGGUGGUCUGUCAGUUAUUAUUUAUAUGAAAACAGAGGACGACUGAAGUAUGAACAAAAUGCAACAAUACUGAGAUGUUGCACAAUGCAGGUUUAUGCCGAGAAUCAACCUUGGUGGCAUCUAAUGCCAUUCAAAGUCAUAGAUCAGAUGGAAUUCUGGAAAGAGGGUGCAAAGAAAAAGCAUCAGCCUGAAUACCCUCCUGGUGUUUCUUAUCAGAGAACUUGUCAGAGAACCGGUAUAAUUACCAAACAUUUAACACAACAUCACAAACAAAAUUUUUACUGUAUUUUAUUUUGUCAUGCUACAGAUACAAAGUCCCCAGGGGACUGUCGGGACCUUUUUCAGCUAGUGCAUGUUAAAGGUGAAGAUUUGUAAUUUGUGUUUUAAAAAGAAAAUGUUGAACAACUAAAAAAAGAAUAUUAUCAGGACAAUUUGGAAGAGGCAAUUAGGAGUUAUUGUGUUUUUAUUAUUAUUAUUAUUAUUUUUUUUAUUUAUAGGGUUGGGGGUGGA
ensembl:lncRNA